GGUCGAGUGCAGGUUAACAUUUCACCGUCCUUGCUACACUAUGCCCAAAGGAGAAAAUUCCAAGUCACCGCAAAGCUAUGCAGAUUUAGGCGGAAUAUGAUGGAAACUACCACAAAGAAAAGGAAGAGCAGCUACAAUUACGACUGUGAAACUACUUAUUUAUAAGUAUUUAUAAGCCGGAGGAAGACGAUUCUCAGUUAUUUGUGAAAUUUUGCCAGUUAUUUUUCAAAUUCACACAGGGGGAAUACGACACGAAGCGACAUAGUUCAUAGGUCCAGUGUUGAGAGUGUUACCAUGACGCCGCGGAGAGACGCCGUGUGACGAAUACAGGCGGCUCGAUUACCGUGCUGCGUUAACGGACUUGUGGCAAGGCUGGUAAAGAUGACACCCUAGAUUUGUCGAACACAUCAUCAGAGCUAGAGCUAUGCACACGUUGGCCACUAGUCGUCGCUAAAAUCGAGACUGCAAACUAGGAUGAAGCGGUGGAAACAAAGAUCCCAUUAAUGGCUGUUCUGGAGCUGUCAGUCAUAUCACAUGAUCUUCAUCGGCAGAUGAAGUUAACCUGGUUAUAAUGGCAUUGCAGGUGUUCAAAUUUCCAUGUUUUAUGAACACCUCAAGGACUUCUUGUUCCUGUUGGCUGAAUGGAUGGAUAAAGAAUGUUUUUCUGUUUUUCAGGCUUUAUCACCAUACAAAUACAAUAAAGUGAAACAAAAUAAUAUAUAAUAUUAUCCUUCAUUAUAUGGAAGUAUCUGUUAUGAUUUGAAGAGCCUUAGAUGGAGGCUGCGUCACCACACCAACACACACCAGAGACAAUUUAAAUCACACUGGCAAAACCACUUUUAUUGAUUUGCAGUUUAACAUUGUCACAAAUCUCCAUUACUGUUGGAAAGUGUUUGCAUUAUUAUACACAUGCAAAAAAUCAGAUGUGAUUUUAUGUCAUCAAUACUUUACAGCAUUACAAAUUUCAAAGACAGCUGAGAAUGUGUUCACUCAACUAUGUGGAUUUGCAUUUUGUCCCAAAAGACAGCUACAUUUUGUCACUGGUGAAUUCUUUCCAAAGAACUGUGUGUAGGCCAAUUAGCUGACACAAAGCUGGUUAUGUUCAUAUUUAUAUUUGAGAAGUACACAUUCACCAACAGCACCAAAACUCAUGCUGCAUUUAUUUUUUUUAAGAACUGAAAUAUAACUUAAAAACAUAACUUAAAAGAAAAUGAUUGCACGGUUUUCUUCACAGUUUCAAUUUACCUUAUUGGUCCCUUUGCUCAAACUGAAAUCUAUUUUGUCCUUUAAUUCACUGUCUGCAUUGCCAGUUGUAGUGCUACUAGACGACUAAUUGCAUAUGAUUUGCAUACAUAUUAAAGUGCACUCUGCAACG